rnacentral:misc_RNA from 1 species
UAAAUUCACUAGUAACAAUGGAGAAUAAAGGUUCUCAAUCUCAACUCUCAAGACUUGAAGCAGCAGAGUCUCCUUGAGUGAAGUCUCAGUUCAGUUAGGAAACAGCACUUUGCUAACCUCUUGGAGCCCAAUUCUUUGUUGCAAAGCCAACAAAGACAUCAACUUUUCCUCAAAAUUACGGUUUUUCUUCAACCCAGGGUUCUGGCGCAUGUGCAGUUUGAUGAACCUGGAGAUGAUUUUGGAGAUCUCGGAGCGAGGGGGAUCAACAAAACCAAGAAACUUGCCCAACUGCGAUGAAGACGAUGGUGUUACUUUGGACUUCAUUUGGGCGUUUACUACGCUGCCAUGAGAUGAAUAAGGAGGGAGGUGGACGCUUUGAGGGCGGCGAGAGCGGUGGGGGUGACCAGCAACUGCUGCUUUAGCAGCCGAUGACACUGCCUUUCCGGCGUA